AUGGCCUGGACUCUUCUCCUCCUCGUGCUCCUCUCUCACUGCACAGGUUCCCUCUCCCAGCCUGUGCUGACUCAGCCGCCCUCCCUCUCUGCUUCUCUGGGAGCCACAGCCAGACUCACCUGCACCCUCCGCAGUGGCUUCAGUGUUGGCAGCUACUACAUAAACUGGUUCCAGCAGAAUCCAGGGAGCCCUCCCCGGUAUCUCCUGUGGUAUAAAUCAGGCUCAGAGAAGCACCAGGGCUCCGGGGUCCCCAGCCGCUUCUCUGGGUCCAAAGAUGCCUCGGCCAAUGCAGGGCUUCUGAUCAUCUCUGGGCUGCAGCCUGAGGACGAGGCCGACUAUUACUGUGCUACAAAUCAUUGGAGUGUGAGCAUCCACAGUGACUCACAGUGGCUCAGAUGACGAGGAAGUGAGACAAAGCCCUGGGCCCAGAGGUUAUGCUCUGAGCGUCACGGGAGCUUCUGUGGAGGCCUCUGCAAGGUGGGCUCCUCUGCAGUCAGAAACGUCCAUGGAUGGGGGGGAGCAGCACACAGUCAUGAGUGAGAGCACAGGGUGUCCCGGGUCACUCUCGCUGAAGGGGUGCCAAAGCCUGACUGA